rnacentral:pre_miRNA from 9 species
UGUACAUCACAGUAAAAUGCUCAAACAUCAAGGUUAGUUGGUCUUGCACCACGAUUGUCUGAGCAUGUACCAUGGUAUCCC